rnacentral:rRNA from 1 species
UUGAAAGGGAAACGAUUGAAGUCAGUCGUACCGACGAAGGAUCAACUUUUGGAAUGCGAAUUGGGGUAUUCGAGGAGUUUAAAAGCCUUCGUGUGCUCAUGUAUUCGUGCUUCUUGGGUGCACUCCUUCGUAUUGGUAGGUUAACAUCAAUUUUGGACGUUACAAAAUGACUGGGGGAAUGUAGCUUCGAUUUUUCGAAGUGUUAUAGCCCUUGGUAGAUGUGACGACCGGGAUUGAGGAUUGCAACGAAUGCUUUCGGGCUAUCCGUCUGACCUCUGGUGGUUGCUUUGGGGUCGAAAGCGUGCUUACGGCUUUAAAGUUGGCUAUCAAAAGGCUAGAACGUGAUUAAAUUCGUUAAGGAUGUUGACGUA